UACGUAGGUGGCAAGCGUUGUCCGGAUUUAUUGGGCCUAAAGCAUCCGUAGCCGGUUCUACAAGUCUUCCGUUAAAUCCACCUGCUUAACAGAUGGGCUGCGGAAGAUACUAUAGAGCUAGGAGGCGGGAGAGGCAAGCGGUACUCGAUGGGUAGGGGUAAAAUCCGUUGAUCCAUUGAAGACCACCAGUGGCGAAGGCGGCUUGCCAGAACGCGCUCGACGGUGAGGGAUGAAAGCUGGGGGAGCAAACCGG
rnacentral:rRNA from 1 species